AACGCGAAGAACCUUACCAAGGCUUGACAUGAACCGGACCGGGCUGGAAACAGUCCUUCCCCUUUGGGGCUGGUUUACAGGUGGUGCAUGGUUGUCGUCAGCUCGUGUCGUGAGAUGUUGGGUUAAGUCCCGCAACGAGCGCAACCCUCGUUCUAUGUUGCCAGCACGUGAUGGUGGGGACUCAUAGGAGACUGCCGGGGUCAACUCGGAGGAAGGUGGGGACGACGUCAAAUCAUCAUGCCCCUUAUGUCUUGGCUUCACGCAUGCUACAAUGGCCGGUACAAAGGGUUGCGAUACUGUGAGGUGGAGCUAAUCCCAAAAAGCCGGUCUCAGUUCGGAUUGGGGUCUGCAACUCGACCCCAUGAAGUCGGAGUCGCUAGUAAUCGCAGAUCAGCAACGCUGCGGUGAAUACGUUCCCGGGCCUUGUACACACCGA
rnacentral:rRNA from 1 species